rnacentral:rRNA from 1 species
UACGGGGGGGGCAAGCGUUGUUCGGAAUUACUGGGCGUAAAGGGCUCGUAGGCGGCCAACUAAGUCAUACGUGAAAUCCCUCGGCUUAACCGGGGAACUGCGUCUGAUACUGGAUGGCUUGAGUUCGGGAGAGGAAAGCGGAAUUCCUGGUGUAGCGGUGAAAUGCGUAGAUAUCAGGAGGAACACCUGCGGUGUAGACAGCUUUCUGGACCACUUCUGACGCUGAGACACGAAAGCGUGGGUAGCAAACAGG